rnacentral:piRNA from 1 species
UUNCAGGAAUGUGCCAUAAUGCUAUUUAUGC